rnacentral:lncRNA from 10 species
ACCCUGUUUCUACAAAAAAAAAUUUUUUAAUUAGCCACACAUUGUGGUGUGAGCCUGUAGUCCCAGCUACUUAGGGGGCUGUGAUGGGAGGAUCACUUAGGCCAAGGAGGUCGAAGCUGCAGUGAGCUGUGAUCAAGCCACUGCACUCCAAGCCUGGGGGACAGAACGAGAUCCUAUUUCAAACAAAACAAAACACAACUUAUUAGGAAUCUAGGCCUAGUAAUCUGAACUUUUAGUCUCCUAACAAGUGUUGAAAUUGUAAACUAAAACACUAUCAACCAUUUGGGACACCAACUCUUUUAGACUGACUACAUUAGGAAGACUACAGAGUCUUACAAACAAAGAGCCACGCUGUUUUACCUUUUUUUUUUUUGAGACAAAGUCUCA